UGGAUUCUGAGACAUGAAUCCAGGCCCUACGGGGCGCAGCAGGCGCGCAAACUUUACAAUGCGAGCAAUCGUGAUAAGGAAACCCUGAGUGCCUGUCGAUGCAGGCUGUUCAUAUAUCUAAAUCAUAUGUGAAGAAAGGGCAGGGCAAGACCGGUGCCAGCCGCCGCGGUAAUACCGGCUGCUCGAGUGAUGGCCACUAUUACUGGGUUUAAAGCGUCCGUAGCUUGACUGUUAGGUCUCUUGGGAAAUCUUCGCGCUCAACGUGAAGGCGUCUAAGAGAUACCGGCAGUCUUGGAACUGGGAGAGGUAAACCGUACUUCGGGGGUAGGAGUGAAAUCUUGUAAUCCUCGAGGGACGACCUAUGGCGAAGGCAGUUUACCAGAACAGCUUCGACAGUGAGGGACGAAAGCUGGGGGAGCAAACGGGAUUAGAUACCCCGGUAGUCCCAGCCGUAAACAAUGUGCGUUAGGUGUGUCGGUAACCACGUGUUACUGAUGCGCCGAAGAGAAAUCGUGAAACGCACCACCUGGGAAGUACGGUCGCAAGGCUGAAACUUAAAGGAAUUGGCGGGGGAGCACCACAACAGGUGGAGCCUGCGGUUUAAU
rnacentral:rRNA from 1 species